ACGGGGUGCAGCAGGCGCGAAACCUCCGCAAUGCUCGAAAGAGCGACGGGGGGACCCCCAGUGCCGUGGCAUCGCCACGGCUUUUCCGGAGUGUAAAGAGCUCCGGGAAUAAGGGCUGGGCAAGGCCGGUGGCAGCCGCCGCGGUAAUACCGGCGGCCCGAGUGGUGGCCGCUAUUAUUGGGCCUAAAGCGUCCGUAGCCGGGCCAGUAAGUCCCUGGCGAAAUCCCACGGCUCAACCGUGGGGCUUGCUGGGGAUACUGCUGGCCUUGGGACCGGGAGAGGCGGAGGGUACUCCUGGGGUAGGGGUGAAAUCCUAUAAUCCCAGGAGGACCGCCAGUGGCGAAGGCGCUCCGCUAGAACGGGUCCGACGGUGAGGGACGAAGGCCAGGGGAGCGAACCGGAUUAGAUACCCGGGUAGUCCUGGCUGUAAAGGAUGCGGGCUAGGUGUCGGGUGAGCUUCGAGCUCGCCCGGUGCCGAAGGGAAGCCGUUAAGCCCGCCGCCUGGGGAGUACGGCCGCAAGGCUGAAACUUAAAGGAAUUGGCGGGGGAGCAC
rnacentral:rRNA from 1 species